rnacentral:rRNA from 1 species
CCUACGGGAGGCAGCAGUGGGGAAUUUUGGACAAUGGACGAAAGUCUGAUCCAGCCAUUCCGCGUGCAGGACGAAGGCCUUCGGGUUGUAAACUGCUUUUGUACGGAACGAAAAAGCCUUGGCUAAUACCCGGGGUCCAUGACGGUACCGUAAGAAUAAGCACCGGCUAACUACGUGCCAGCAGCCGCGGUAAUACGUAGGGUGCGAGCGUUAAUCGGAAUUACUGGGCGUAAAGCGUGCGCAGGCGGUUUUGUAAGACAGAGGUGAAAUCCCCGGGGCCCAACCUGGGAACUGCCUUUGUGACUGCAAGGCUAGAGUGCGGCAGAGGGGGAUGGAAUUCCGCGUGUAGCAGUGAAAUGCGUAGAUAUGCGGAGGAACACCGAUGGCGAAGGCAAUCCCCUGGGCCUGCACUGACGCUCAUGCACGAAAGCGUGGGGAGCAAACAGGAUUAGAUACCCUGGUAGUCCACGCCCUAAACGAUGCCAACUGGUUGUUGGGUCUUUGCUGACUCAGUAACGAAGCUAACGCGUGAAGUUGACCGCCUGGGGAGUACGGCCGCAAGGUUGAACUCAAAUGAAUUGACGGCUGAGAGUGCGAGACGACGACGAGGGAGAGG